rnacentral:misc_RNA from 1 species
UUUGCUUGCGCAACAACUUCCAUCCUUCAUUCCUCUUCAAUUGUCUGUUAAGGCAUGUAUUGCCUUUGCGGAUUGUGUGGUUUCCUGUGUUGUUUACCUAAGUUAUGGUAUUGUGUUUGUUGAUGCUAGUACUUUUUCGUCUUCUAUCAUUCUCAUGAUACAAGAUGAACCUUGAAGCAGUCUCUUUAUACCAUACUUUCAAUGUGUGCGUUGAUGUUAUGGCGUAUCGAGUGUUGCUUGGUUUCAUGGACACAGAACAUGAAUUGGGCAUGGGGUCUUAUUUGAUCCUUUUUUUGUCCUCCAGAGCGUUGCGCUACUCCUUCAGUAACCUUCCAUACUUUGUGACCGUAUAUCGGAGCGGGUAUGGUCUGUUAUUCUACGGGGAAUGCAACGUGCAUUUCUCUGAGCGACUGCCUUCGCCCGCCACGGCUAGUACCAGCGGGGUAGGUCUUGUCAAUUAUGAAUGCUACCUGGUUGAUCCU